UACAUUUACACUCCUAGUUUGGAUCGCGAUUAUUAAUCGCGAUCCGAUAUGUUUGCAUAAAGACCCCUGGAUAUUUACAAAUAAGUACUCCGUCGUCUUCGUGUGGGCAGCUCCACCCUCCUCUCCUCUCCGCGAUGCAGCGCCGCCGCCGGCCGCAGCGCCGUCCGGCACUGCAACCGCAAGGCUCGAGCAUCUAUCCCCUUGACCUCCUCAAGCCCAAGCACCAGCUCUUCGCUCCCAUCCAUCCCCUCCCUCGCGCCAAGGAUCUAAAGCGCGCGUAUUCGCUGCAACCAGGCACGCGUACGCCUCGCCGAUCCUCCGCCGUGCUGCUUUGAUCUGUGCGCCGUGCCGCGCCGAGAUUGUGCCCCCGAUCCGGUGGCUUCGUGCUGGCGACGUCCGGCGGCGGUGGACGCUGAUGGCGGGGGCGUCCAGCGAACGUUUGAUUUGGUUUACUUGUGGACAUUUACACGGACCAUGAUGCAUUCAUUUCUUUUGCUUCAACACUGUUUUGUUUGAGGAUAUCAAUUGUUUGCAGUAACGUAACAUUUUCAAGUUCUAUCAUAAGGUAUUUGCUACUUGGAUGCAUUCAUUUCCCAGAAAAUGCCUAGAAAUUAGCAGCAGUUCUUCUGUGGGAGGAUCUGAUGGGAAAACAAAGUCAUGUGUACGGCGAGCAUGAAGUUUAUUAUCAAAUGCAAGACGCACACUGCCGAUCUCUAUCUCGUCAGCUUCAGACUUGCAGAGGAAUGACUAGCAUGGGGGCCAGAAGCUCAGAAGGCUAUGGACUUGUAAAAUCCCUUUGAAAAUGAAGAUAUUUUUUUUAUGCCAGAUCUUUCAAAACAGGAUACAAAACUGCUGAUAUAUUUGAAACAUGUUUGCUUCUUUGUGAGGGGUGGCUUGGGCUCUACAGAGGAUUUGCAACUGGUGCUCUUGACCUACCAAGGCAGUGGUGAACUGGUGCUCUGCUCUGAUAAUCAGCAUUUGCAACAACGAACUGAACAUUUGCACUUGCAAAGACUGAAACACACCAGCUUUACAUUUCAUAGUUCACCAUCUCACAAGACCAACACUCUCAAGUCUCACCAACUCCAUCUAACCUGUUUCCACUAUGUACCAGAUACUAACCAAAACUGAAUUAUCAGAGCAGAGCACCAGUUCACCACUGCCUGCUUCUAGAGUCGUCUGUGAUGCGAGUUGGUGAUUCUGGAGGAAUUUGGGUUAUCUGACUUGCUCUGAAUGCUGAAAGCUUCCGUCCACCUGCUGCAGGUUUUAUUUUUGAAACGGCCACCUGCAGGUUUUGUUGCUUUCCUGCGUGAACCUACCAAUAAUAUCCAUCGGAGGUCAGAUAAAUCGAAGAUCAAAGGAGAGUGUCCAUGGUGAUGCUCGCAGUAAGGUGGUAGUAUACGCUAAAAAAUAGUAGAAUGAUAUCAUAUCUGAAGUCUGUAUGAUAUGGUGAUUAUCUGUUCAACCUCUGUAUAACAGGCUUCAGCUGAUGUGUUACAAAUAUCUAUGGGACAAUUUGAUUGCUGAGAGAUUUCCAGCAGAGAAUUUCUGCAGCUAUUUUUGGCCUGGACCCCAACUACUUGUUUUCGGAUGAUGUCAAGCAGUACAUCAGUCAUCAGCACAUUGGGAUUCGAUGCAAAUGUGCUAUGUCUCACCUUUAAACUUUGUAUUAUUUUCUAAUAGUUCUCAGGCAAUUUACUGUGAUUUCACCGGCCAGUGUAUUCAUGGGAAAUCAUUCAAUUCCAUGUGCUAGGAAACUGCACAAAUAAAGGAAGUGUAUGCUAGACUUAUUUUCUGACUGACUGUAUGGAUAUUCAUGCUACUGUCUACAACGUUUUUUUAUAGUCCUUGUGAGUUGUGACAUGGUUUCUGCCUGCAGACCUUGAAGAUGUAUUGAAAUAUUGCAAGGUUACCUGCCAUACUCUAACGCGGUCUUAAAAAUUGCUGUUAUUGAGAUAUGAACUACAGGCAGACCAUUCCCUGCUUGAAGAAUACCAGUUCAUUUAUGAUGAUAGAUGGUUCAAGGAUCAAAUCCAGGAAGUCCUCAGCUUCUGUUAAGGAUCACAGGAACCUAAAUUUGUAACUGAAGAGAAGAGGUGGAAAUGCAGUUUCUGCAAAUUUGCAUCAAAAUGCCCAAUGAUUGCUUCCGUUUCAAGGUGUUGUCACUAACAGAAAAAGGCUCUAAUUUGGUUUUGGUUGGAGCUUGGUGAAAUAUUUGACACUGAGCUGAAGAACCAAAAGUAGUGAUUAAUUUCAAUAUUUGAAAUGCCUUACAUUUAGUCUUUUGUUUGUUCGUUUUUUCUUCAUGGAUGAAAAAAAUGUAACUAUUGUUAUUUUACUCCAUGAGCAGCUUUGUAACUCAAAUGUUAUUGAUUGGCAAUAGAAUUCUGUUCUUGUUG